GCACACAAAAACUGCAGCAUUUAUCGCCUCUUAUUUCCUCCCCAUCACCUUGCAAGUGCGGAAUAAAGUGCUGAAUUUAACUGGGCAGCGGCUGCCUUCGUCUUUAAAAGGAUGCCUGCACUGCCAUCAUCGUCGACCUGUUCGCGUCCUGCUCUCGGAACCGGCCUGGCGGCCUCCACUCUGGUAGGUGAUGCUCCAUAUUCUCAGCAACACCCAUUUUUCCUAUCACCGAGACUAUGCUUUUGAAUCUUACAACUUGUUUUUCGAUCCAAAGGUGCUCGAUGUGACAGGUCUCUUGCUACUCCAUUGUUAUGCAGGCUCUCGUCUUUAGAAAAGUUCAUUGCUUCAGUAGUCCAGCCGGUGAACAGUUAGCUAUAUGUAAGUUUGUUGGCUUUGGCCAUAUACAUUUAGUCACAUUCAAUGUUAUAUAUCUUUACUUAAUAUUAAAGGAAGGAUUGUUUCUUCAGUUUUUUUGGUUUAUGAUGGGACCCAAAAAAAAUCGUACGUCAGUCGUUUCCUUGUGCGAGCGUUUUCUCCUUCUCCCGAUUGGCUUCUGUCAAAAAAAUAUCACGUGAUGCACAGAGCAGCAAUGGACAUGAUUCAAGAAAAAACGUUGCGCGAUGAGGGAUCGAACCCAGCUCCUCACGCUUGAUCGCUCAUAAUGGUAGCCACUAGACUAAAUAAAAUUUGAUGUUUAAUUGGCAGCACAAAAUUUAAAAUUAAGCACGCAAUCGCGUCAGAUACUGAGAGAAAAAGUUAUUUUUAGAAAAAGUGAAUAUAUUUUAGAACGCGGAAAUUUUGCAAAGUUGGUAAUAAAAAAUGAAACUCGAACUUUUUUAAAGAACAUUUUUUUAUUUUUUUGAAACCUGACAAUUUUUUAAAGCACAAACAAGUUCUAAAACUAGGAGGUACUGUUGUGAUUAUUUUUCGAAUUUGCAAACAUUUGAAAAAACAAAUAUAUUUUUAGCUUUUAAUUUGAAGUCUCUCCCACGCAAAACAAGAAUUUGAAAAGUCAAAUCAUUUUUUAAAACAAGAUUUUUUUUUAAAACUGAGAGGUACUGUAGCUAAAUUGUUUUAAUCUAUACCUAUUAAUAAAACUUGGUGAGUUUUUUAAAUAUUCCCACCUGAUGCAUUGUUUUAGUUCAAUUUAUUAAACUAGGGAUAUGGAAAGAAUCUUUUUCGCUGUCACGUCUUCACGUACGACCAGUCUCACUCGGCCCAGUGACUCCUGUCAAAAUACAUGAGGAGUCCAACUAAGGUUUCAUGAUCUAUCUAACACAAACUACUCAAUUUACAUGAUCACACGGACAUAUAUUAUGUGCAGUGAUUUUCCCUAUUAUAUUAGCCAAAUAAAAAAAAACUUUCUUCAACGCCCUUGAUCUUUGUCGGACACGAAGGCGGCUCAACAAUCCAAUUAUUGGACCUAUCCAACCUUGGUGAGUGACAACUGGUGCUACGACCAUCGGCGGCGAGGACGACAAAGACGACAAGUGAAAACAUGUGUCUGAUGUUAUAUUGAAAUGUAGGAUGUCGACCCGAGGAUGAGGUAUUAGUCAUGUUUAUUAUGUUAUGGGCACGAGGGUCAGGUCUUUAGCCAUGCUCAGUGGGUAAAGACGUGUGAGGGCUGUUUUCUCCCGUUGCAACGCACGGGUAUAUUUGCUAGUAUAUAUAUAUAUAUAUAUCAUUUAGUUUGUCUGACAAAAAUUGUGCUUUAUUUACCUAUUACACACGUCUUGGUAUGUGUUCCUUAGGGAAGCUCAAUGGAGUAUGGACAACAAAUCAAAUACAUGAUAAGAAGUAAGUAAGGAAACAUCAGAAGAUGUUUUUCGCAGUCCAUUGUACAAACACACUCGAAGAUUAUGCCCUUUGGGUAAAAAAGAUUAUGCUUUCAAGUGUUACUUGGCUAGGUUAAUGUUUCAUAUAAUCCAUCACUUGGGGUUUCUAUCCAUGAAUUUGUGAGUAUUGUAUCAUAUUAUGACAAGAGGUAUUCAUCCAUAAAAAACAAGUAAUCAGGGUUUAUGCAGAUAUGGAUCUGCUAUCAUGCUUAAACUUUCUUUCUUCAGUUUGCCAAUCUAGAAAAGUCCGUUGCUGCUCUCAUUCGCUUCAUUGAUUUACAUAUCUCUUGCUACUCGCCUUUGUAUGCAAUCUAUCAUCUCUUAAAUUAAUUAUUUAGCAUACCUUCUAUUGUUUUCAUGUGUAUUUUCCCCUUAUUUAGUUUCAGCCAUGGACCCCUCCUGGGUGGUCUUUGUAAGCCUCAUGUAGAUUUGGCAUCACAUAACAACUUCUAUGGACAUAAGUCUCUUAGGAGAUCACAAAGAAUAUUGAACUAUAUAAGAAUAAUCUCUAAUAAUACCAAAAGAGAAUUAUACAUUUCCUGAAACUUUAAGAUGACAUGAUGCAAGUGUGUCCUUAACAUGGC
rnacentral:lncRNA from 1 species